rnacentral:rRNA from 1 species
UACGGGGGGGGCAAGCGUUGUUCGGAAUUACUGGGCGUAAAGGGCUCGUAGGCGGCCAACUAAGUCAGACGUGAAAUCCCUCGGCUUAACCGGGGAACUGCAUCUGAUACUGGAUGGCUUGAGAUUGGGAGAGGGAUGCGGAAUUCCAGGUGCAGCGGUGAAAUGCGUAGAUAUCUGGAGGAACACCGGUGGCGAAGGCGGCAUCCUGGACCAACACUGACGCUGAGGAGCGAAAGCCAGGGGAGCAAACGGG